GCAGUCGAACGAGUUCUCGUUGAUGAUCGGUGCUUGCACCGAGAUUCAACAUGGAACGAGUGGCGGACGGGUGAGUAACACGUGGGUAACCUGCCCUUAAGUGGGGGAUAACAUUUGGAAACAGAUGCUAAUACCGCAUAGAUCCAAGAACCGCAUGGUUCUUGGCUGAAAGAUGGCGUAAGCUAUCGCUUUUGGAUGGACCCGCGGCGUAUUAGCUAGUUGGUGAGGUAAUGGCUCACCAAGGCGAUGAUACGUAGCCGAACUGAGAGGUUGAUCGGCCACAUUGGGACUGAGACACGGCCCAAACUCCUACGGGAGGCAGCAGUAGGGAAUCUUCCACAAUGGACGCAAGUCUGAUGGAGCAACGCCGCGUGAGUGAAGAAGGCUUUCGGGUCGUAAAACUCUGUUGUUGGAGAAGAAUGGUCGGCAGAGUAACUGUUGUCGGCGUGACGGUAUCCAACCAGAAAGCCACGGCUAACUACGUGCCAGCAGCCGCGGUAAUACGUAGGUGGCAAGCGUUAUCCGGAUUUAUUGGGCGUAAAGCGAGCGCAGGCGGUUUUUUAAGUCUGAUGUGAAAGCCCUCGGCUUAACCGAGGAAGCGCAUCGGAAACUGGGAAACUUGAGUGCAGAAGAGGACAGUGGAACUCCAUG
rnacentral:rRNA from 2 species